GCCAUUAUCAGACAGUAGCCCCUCCACCUUCCAGUUAGCAGUGCCAGCAUGCCAUUAUCAGACAGUAGCCCCUCCACCUUCCAGUUGGCAGUGUCAGCAUGUCAUUAUCAGACAGUAUCCCCUCCCAGUUGGCAGUGCCAGCAUGCCAUUAUCAGACAGUAGCCCCUCCACCUUCCAGUUAGCAGUGCCAGCAUACCAUUAUCAGACAGUAGCCCCUCCCCCUUCCAGUUGGCAGUGCCAGCAUGCCAUUAUCAGACAUUGCCCAGGAGGGCUGACGCAUCACAUCCCUGCUCAUUAUAAGCUGUUGCACCAGUUCCUGGCACAUGUUCGUGUUUCCUUAGAAGCUUCACAGAUAUGUUAUAAGCAACAUUGUAUUUCAAAGCAUGAAUUACUCAUUGUUAUAACGCCAGAUGUGUACCAAGGCCAGUCAAGCAUAUCGCCAAAAGUUCGGAACAUUGGGGAGGAUUUUGACCUGUCCUGACCUCCAGAAAGGAUGUUCCGGGAAAGCUGAUAAUCGCAAAGCAACAAAUAUAUUUUAAUUGCAAUUUAUAAUAUAUUUUGACAAAUGACGUGUUUCAAUUUUCAAGACAUGCAUGGUGUAUUUUGAUUGGCUAAAUGUAUUGGCACACAUGAAUCCUUUGUUCUUUUGCUAUAAAAUAAACCUUAUAUGGCCCCUAAGACAGAUCAACUAUGAACUGCUUAGGUUACACAAUGA